UCAAGUUAUUAAGGGUGCAGGGCGGAUGCCUUGGCACUAGGAGCCGAUGAAGGACGUGAUAAGCUGCGAUAAGCUUCGGGGAGUUGCACGUAAACUUUGAUCCGAAGAUUUCCGAAUGAGGAAACUCACUUAGAGUAAUGUCUAAGUAUCAUUAAGUGAAUACAUAGCUUAAUGAGGGGAACUCAGGGAACUGAAACAUCUAAGUACCUGAAGGAAGAGAAAGAAAUUCGAUUCCGUAAGUAGCGGCGAGCGAACGCGGGUUAGCCCAAACCAAUAAAGUUUUCUUUAUUGGGGUUGCGGACAUAUCAUAACGAAGAGGUAUCGUAAUUGAAGAGGUUUGGAAAGACCCACCACAGAAGGUAAUAGUCCUGUAUGUUAAACGAGAAGACUUCAGAUAUGAUCCAGAGUACCACGGGACACGUGAAACCCUGUGGGAAGCAGGAGGGACCACCCUCCAAGGCUAAAUACUACCUAGUGACCGAUAGCGUAUAGUACCGUGAGGGAAAGGUGAAAAGAACCCCGGGAGGGGAGUGAAAUAGAACCUGAAACCCUGCACUUACAAGCUGUGGAAGCACAUUUCUUGUGUGACCGCGUACUUUUUGUAGAACGGGCCAACGAGUUACGUUAAGUAGCAAGGUUAAGCACUUAAGGUGCGGAGCCGUAGCGAAAGCGAGUUUUAACUGAGCGUUCAGUUACUUGACGUAGACCCGAAACCGGGCGACCUACCCAUGAGCAGGAUGAAGCGAAAGUAAAAUUUCGUGGAGGUCCGAACCCACGAGCGUUGAAAAGCUCGGGGAUGACUUGUGGGUAGCGGUGAAAUUCCAAUCGAGCCCGGAGAUAGCUGGUUCUCCCCGAAAUAGCUUUAGGGCUAGCCUCAAGGUGAGAGAUACGGAGGUAGAGCACUGAAUGUCCUAGGGGGUAUUGCACCUACCGAAGACUAUCAAACUCCGAAUGCCGUCAUCUUAUACUUGGGAGUCAGACUGUGGGUGAUAAGAUUCAUAGUCGAAAGGGCAACAGCCCAGAUCGUCAGCUAAGGUCCCUAAAUGUAAGUUAAGUGGUAAAGGAUGUGGGAUUGCACAGACAACCAGGAUGUUGGCUUAGAAGCAGCCACUCAUUCAAAGAGUGCGUAAUAGCUCACUGGUCGAGUGAUCCUGCGCCGAAGAUUUCCGGGGCUAAAACUUACUACCGAAGCUACGGCAUCAGUAAUGAUGGGUAGGGGAGCUUCCCAUACGGGUUGAAGCAUGACCGUAAGGACAUGUGGACAGUAUGGGAGUGAGAAUGUUGGCAUGAGUAGCGAGAUGUGGGUGAGAAUCCCACAGGCCGUAAACCCAAGGUUUCCAGGGGAAGGUUCGUCCGCCCUGGGUUAGUCGGGACCUAAGCUGAGGCCGAAAGGCGUAGGUGAUGGACAACAGGUUGAUAUUCCUGUACUACCGAUAACCGUUUGAGAGAAGGGAUGACACAGUAGGAUAAGCUAAGCACACUGUUGGUUAUGUGUGCCCAAGCAUUGAGGCAGUCAAAGUAGGCAAAUCCGCUUUGAUAAUGCUGGGAUGUGAUGGGGAGCGAAAUUUAGUAGCGAAGUAGCUGAUUUCACACUGUCAAGAAAAGUCUCUAUCGAGGUUAAAGGUACCCGUACCGCAAACCGACACAGGUGGGUGAGGAGAGUAUCCUAAGGCCAGCGAGAGAACUGUUGUUAAGGAACUCGGCAAAAUGACCCCGUAACUUAGGGAUAAGGGGUGCCACCAUCAGGUGGCCGCAGAGAAUAGGCCCAAGCGACUGUUUACCAAAAACAUAGGUUUCUGCUAAGUCGCAAGACGAUGUAUAGGAGCUGACGCCUGCCCGGUGCUGGAAGGUUAAGGGGAUCUGUUAGAGCAAUCGAAGCAGUGAACUUAAGCCCCAGUAAACGGCGGCCGUAACUAUAACGGUCCUAAGGUAGCGAAAUUCCUUGUCGGGUAAGUUCCGACCCGCACGAAAGGCGUAACGAUUUGGGCACUGUCUCAACAACAGACUCGGUGAAAUUGUAAUUCCGGUGAAGAUGCCGGAUACCUGCGACAGGACGGAAAGACCCCAUGGAGCUUUACUGUAGCUUGACAUUGGGUCUUGGUACUACAUGUACAGGAUAGGUGGGAGGCUUUGAAACCAGGACGCCAGUUUUGGCGGAGCCAUCCUUGGGAUACCACCCUUGUAGUACUGGGACUCUAACCAUAGGCCAUGAAUCUGGUCUUGGGACACUGUCAGGUGGGCAGUUUGACUGGGGCGGUCGCCUCCCAAAAGGUAACGGAGGCGCUCAAAGGUUCUCUCAGUACGGUCGGAAAUCGUACGUAGAGUGUAAAGGCAAAAGAGAGCUUGAUUGCAAGACAUACAGGUCGAGCAAGGAUGAAAAUCGGACUUAGUGAUCCGGUGGUUCUGCGUGGAAGGGCCAUCGCUCAACGGAUAAAAGCUACCCUGGGGAUAACAGGCUUAUCUCCCCCAAGAGUCCACAUCGACGGGGAGGUUUGGCACCUCGAUGUCGGCUCAUCACAUCCUGGGGCUGUAGUAGGUCCCAAGGGUUGGGCUGUUCGCCCAUUAAAGUGGUACGCGAGCUGGGUUCAGAACGUCGUGAGACAGUUCGGUCCCUAUCCGUCGCAGGCGUAGGAAAUUUGAGAAGACCUGUCCUUAGUACGAGAGGACCGGGAUGGACGUACCUCUGGUGUACCAGUUGUCCUGCCAAGGGCAUGGCUGGGUAGCUAUGUACGGAAUGGAUAAGCGCUGAAAGCAUCUAAGCGCGAAGCCAACUUCAAGAUAAGAUUUCCCACCGCAAGGGUAAGACCCCAGAAAGACUAUCUGGUUGAUAGGUCGAAGGUGUAAGUGCAGCAAUGUAUUUAGCUUAUCGAUACUAAUAGGUCGAGGACUUGACCAA
rnacentral:rRNA from 1 species